GCUAGUAUGGCUGAGCGGCGAAAGCGCCCCGCUGUAGACGGGGUCCCACAGGGUAUAAACACCGUAGGUUCGAGUCCUACUGCUAGCACCA
rnacentral:tRNA from 1 species